AGCGAAUAGAUACCCAGGUAGUCCCAGCUGUAAACGAUGCAGGCUAGGUGUUUGGACGGCCACGUGCCGUUCUAGUGCCGCAGGGAAGCUGUUAAGCCUGCCGCCUGGGGAGUACGAUCGCAAGAUUGAAACUUAAAGGAAUUGGCGGGGAGCACCACAAGGGGUGAAAGCUUGCGGUUUAAUUGGAGUCAACGCCGGAAAUCUCACCGGGAGCGACAGCAGUGUGAAAGCCAGAUUAAAGGUCUUGCUAGACGAGCUGAGAGGAGGUGCAUGGCCGUCGCCAGUUCGUGCCGUGAGGUGUCCUGUUAAGUCAGGCAACGAUCGAGACCCGCAUCCUCUGUUGCAACCAGCUUUGUGCUGGGCACACUGAGGAGACCGCCACUGAUAAAGUGGAGGAAGGAGCGGGCCACGGCAGGUCAGUAUGCCCCGAAUCUCCCGGGCCACACGCGAGCUGCAAUGGCAGGUACAAUGGGUUCCGACCUCGAAAGGGGUAGGCAAUCUCGAAAGCCUGCCGUAGUUGGGA
rnacentral:rRNA from 1 species